rnacentral:tRNA from 1 species
CAGGGAGACAACAAAAUGUUAAAUAUUAAUUUUGUCACCUUAGGUCGAUCGGUAUCUCACAUCCUUGAUUUAUCAAGGAUUUUAUUUCCUAAGUUUUUUCUAGGUCACACCCAUUACUUUUCCUGGGCCAUUAGCUCAGGUGGUUAGAGCGCACCCCUGAUAAGGGUGAGGUCCCUGGUUCAAGUCCAGGAUGGCCCAUAUCUCUAUGUUGGGGGUAUAGCUCAGUUGGUAGAGCGCCUGCUUUGCAAGCAGGAUGUCAGCGGUUCGAGUCCGCUUACCUCCACUGAUUACCACCUCUUCCAUAAUCUUAGAAAGGAAAUGUUUUGAGCUGUAAUCAAAUUCUGAAAGAAUCUAGCCUCUUAAUUAUCUUUAUUAAGAUGCUGGACUCAUUGAAUUAAUUUCAUUGUUUUCAGAGAACCUUGACAACUGCAUAGAUUAUUUUUAAAGACAAUAAGCAUCUUUUAUGAUGCAGAUUUAUUAUUUGUGCGAAUGCAUUAAUAACAAUUCUAUUAAGCUGAUGCUUCAAUUUUUGAAGUUAUU